rnacentral:tRNA from 1 species
GCCGAGGUGGCGGAACCUGGCAGACGCACUGCGCUCAGGACGCAGUGGGGUUCUUCCCCGUGCGGGUUCAAAUCCCGCCCUCGGCA